rnacentral:rRNA from 1 species
CCUACGGGGGGCAGCAGUGGGGGAUAUUGCACAAUGGGGGAAACCCUGAUGCAGCGACGCCGCGUGGGUGAAGAAGCGCCUCGGCGCGUAAAGCCCUGUCAGCAGGGAAGCACAUGACGGUACCUGAAUAAGAAGCCCCGGCUAACUACGUGCCAGCAGCCGCGGUAAUACGUCGGGGGCAAGCGUUAUCCGGAUUUACUCGGUGUAACGGGGGCGCAGACGGCGCUGCAAGCCAGGAGUGAAAGCCCGGGGCUCAACCCCGGGACUGCUCUUGGAACUGCGUGGCUAGAGUGCAGGAGGGGCAGGCGGAAUGCCUGGUGUAGCGGGGAAAUGCGUAGAUAUCAGGAGGAACACCGGUGGCGAAGGCGGCCUGCUGGACUGCAACUGACGUUGAGGCCCGAAAGCGUGGGGAGCAAACAGGAUUAGAUACCCCGGUAGUC